rnacentral:tRNA from 1 species
UGCUGUGGUGUAGUGGUGAGCACUCCAGACUUUGAAUCUGGCAGCCGCGGUUCGAUCCCGUG